rnacentral:lncRNA from 1 species
CAAGAGUUUCUCCAGGGUGCUUGGUGUUGAGGCAACAGGCCCCACUGAGUAGAAAAGACGUAGAAGUAACUUGCAUGAAAUAGCUAUGCAAAAUGCAACUGGAAGAGCCUUGUUUGCACGCAGACAUGUUCCUGAGAAUAAUGUAGAUACUGCAUUUGAUUUCACACUAGUAAACAUUAUAAAGAUAGAGACAAUUGUUAAAAAAAAAAAAACUAUCCAGAAGAAUGUACAGCUUCAGCUGUGCUUCCAGUCCUGGAUUUAGCCCAAAGACAGAAAAGAUAAUUGCCCAGAUCUGCUGAGAACAAUGAUACAAAAGGCCUACAAGUACCUCCAAUGGGAGUAUUUGAAGUAGGAACUUUUUAUGCAAUGUGUAAUUGAAAGCUAUUUGAAAAGUAUCACAGUCAGGUCUGUUUUACUAUGCCUUGAAUGCUACCAGAUUCUGUAGGCAGUUAAU